rnacentral:misc_RNA from 1 species
CUGCAAGCUGUUCUAAUUUGUGCAAGUAAUAACUCUGGGCUCGACAGGGACUCCUGCGGCUGAUGUUCAUCUGACAGGUUCAUUCCUGGUAAAAUCAUUUUACACGAAUUCCUUGCAAACAUCUCCGCAACUGCCUCAUAGCCAUCUCUAUUGUCUGUGUUAAAAACCCCAGCCGUUAGCUCACAAGGGUGACUGCGAGUUUUGAACAAAGAGUGAAUGAGUGGGACUUCGCCAUAAGUUGUCACAGUAGAGCCGCCAAACUCAUCAGAGGCAAGAGA